rnacentral:tRNA from 1 species
AGAGAUGUAGCUCAGUGCUAGAGUGCGUGCUUAGCGUGCUCGAGGUCCUGGGUUGGGUCCCUAGUAUUUCAA